ACCAAAUCCCUCUUAAUUUCUGCAGCCAGUCUUUUAUCCUUGGGAUAUAACAGCCACUGGUUAAAUACAGAACCUGACAGAAUACUGAGCGUAUUCUUUGUGCCUAACAAAUAACUUUACAACAAUAAUUAAUAUUCUCAUACUGGCUUUUCCUCCUAGAAACUAGGAUUCCUUAUGUAGCUUUUGGCUCUCAUUUGUCCUUCUAAAAUUCAAAAUGGAGAUUGGAUUCUUUCCAUUUCUUGUUUUCUCUGACUUUAGGGGGAAUUUUCCAGCUGUGUAGAGAAGGCAGCUUCUGAGAAUAGAAACAGGAACCUCUGUACAGAAACCCUGAUACUGAGAAACAAAGCACCGUUUGUGAUUUAUGGGUUUAAUGCUUUUAACACUUAAAACAGUGGAAAAUAUUCUUCAUGUCUUAUGUAAGCUCUGUGUUGUGGUCUGGGGGUUUUAUUUUCAUUGUACUUUCUAAGUGUGUUUAAAAAACGAUGGGCUUGGAAGACCAAGUUCUACAGUCACCAGAAAAUCUCUUACAGAAUAUUACUGACUGUUCACGGAGUCUUUGCUAGAUAUUAAUUCAUAAGAGCGCUUUUAAUCAUUUCAUUGAAUAGCCACUAAAACUGAGGGAAAGUCUUCUGUGAAUUGAGGCUUAAAAAAAAAAUCUUUGUACCGCACUACUUUGCUUACAGGUACAUCCUGUUUAAGUUUAAACUCCGAACGUGUUGCCUGGCUAUGUAGCUGGGCAGCUGGCUUGCAGGCUAAGAACGUUUCAAAAAAAUGUUUAGGUCCCGGCAAAACAGACCCUCAAAACAAUAUUCUAGUUCCUCUGGAAAUUCUGAAUUCCUCACUUUGCAUUCUGAAUAUGUAGUUGAAGAACCAGCAAUGUAAAUAUAGCUGGGUGGGUAGUCUAGUUCCACUAUUGCUGUAGUGUACCACAGAAGUAUAGAGUCAAAUCUAUUCAGACUGUUCAGCUUGGAAAAGAGGAGUCUGAGUAGGAAUGUGAUUGAAGUUUACAGGACCUUGUAUUUGUAUGUGGUGCCAAGGUGAGUAGGGAACGGUCUUUCACUUUUUUUCCACAACAGAAGUACUGUUUGAAUUAAGUUGUCAGGCAUUAGCUUUAAAACAAAUGGAAAGAUGCUUCUUCAGAGACUGGGUAUUUAAACUGCGGAAUUCAUUGCCAAAAGAUAUUAUGGAGGCCAAAAAUAUCUGUGAUUCAGAAAGGAAUCAUAAAACACUGAAUGGAGGAUAGAUUUAUCUUAUUUGGGUAGAUGCAUCCAAAAGGGUUUGGAUGCAACUUUUAAAUGAAAGAAGUCCCCAGACCAGUUUUUAGAAUUUGGGAGGGUUUACAGCAUUAAGAAUUAUUCUCUACGUGCUGUGAAUUUUAUCCUUUUCCUGUAAGAGAAGGAGGAAAGAUUUCUCUCUGUUGUCCCAUGUCCUCAGGUCCCAUGAGAAAAUACGAGGACAAAAUAAACUUUUUGAACGUGACUUCAGUAUGGAAUGCAUAAAGGUAUUUAUAUUGUAGAUAAUGAUGAUUCUGACGGCUUCUAGAUAAACGCUCUGCAGACUGAACUCAUUUUCCAUAGAAGCAUUUACUGCUUCCAGUUAAAUACAGAUGACCAGUCUUCAGGGAGAUAAAACAAGCUUGCCACAGUUUUCAGGAGAAUGAGACGGCAGUUCUGUGCUCACUGCUGCGAGGUGGUAUCUCAUAUAAAUCUUAAAGCAGAAGCUUCAGAGCCAUCUCUGAAGCGCUUUCCAACUGCUUUUAAAAACAAUGCUGUGCAGAUCCAAGAUGCAGUUGAUGCUUUGACUCCCUCAAAGAGUCAGUGACAUGAAGGUUUGUGAUCCGACUGCUGGGAAAGAAGAAAAAAAAAAAGGCAAAAAACCCUCAGGUUGACUCAACAUAUACGGCUGUUUUUUUUUUUUUUAAAAUUCACUUUUUUUACAAUAGAGAACAGCACUACAAAACAUAGGCAAAAAAUACUUGCUUUGGAGCACGUUCGGGGUGUGAGGUUACAUCUUUUGCUUAAGGUGGUGAGGCCCUGUCAAGGCUUGGGAGAGAAUUCUCUCUUUCUCUGGAGCAGUCCCUCAGUUACUGUGGAAAACAAGGUGAUAAAGCAACCAGCGAAAUGGAAACCUUACAAGCUGAAAUGAAUCAAGCCUUGGAAAACCUUUGGAGCUUAAGAAAGGAAAGGAGCGAGAAGAAAGCAGAAUCCGUUCCCCAUUUUGUACAGCCUGAAGGAGGAAGUGUAGAAGGAGCACCAAUAAAAGGCAUGGAUAAAAUUUCAAAAGAUAAGCCAAAGGCAGGGCCGCUAUUCAUACUGCUCUGCUCAGACAGAUCCCUUCAUCCAAAUCUAUUUCUAUGGGCAGCUGAAACCUCUCUCUUCAACUUCCAAGCUGCAGAGGAAGCACUCUGAGGAGCUGGGCAGUCAGCACAAGGAUGAGAGCCCCCACAGGUGUAAAAGCGUUAAGACCAUUACAAGGCCACCAUUACAAGAUCAGUCAGUGUUUAACACUAUUCCCCUCAUAUAUGUUCUAGACUAAUUUACAGCAUUUUACAAGAAGCAUUAGGGCCCAAUCCCUCCAGGUGCUGAGAAAAUCUUGAGUACCCUCCCAGAGGGGUUCACGGUCCUCAGCACCUUCACGAUAGCAUUGAGAUCUUGGACUGAGUGUGAUUCCAAGUUCACUUGUGUCCGUGACUCCAACUGAAGUCCUUGGUCUUUGGAUCACUUUGGAUCGUAUUCUCUGUGCUUAUGCCAACUUGGCAUAAAAUCAGAGAUAGUGACAACAAGCUAGUGUACAAUCAAAAUGAGAUUUUGAGAAAAUUAUUACUUUUGGAAGACCAUGGAACAUUGUCACACAGGGAUAGCAGUGUUUCUUCGUAGAUGCAUUUUCUUUCUUUUAAUGAAGGUUAUUCCAGAAAGUCUUUAGCAAACCGCAACACUGAGUUUGUUUCUUAACACAAUGUGCAUAUGGCUCUCCUGUGGAUCAUUAUGUAACUGAUGUUUAUAAAUUUUUCUUUGACUUGACAGCUCUGCUGAAGGAAAAUCUCUUUAGACUUCCAUGCUCAUUUGAAUGAUGAAAUACUUGAAUGCUCAGAAUCACUAGUACACAGAAUAAAAAAAGAGUUGCAUUUAAAAUUUUUACUGAAAACAAAUAGUUUAAAAUGUCCUGAGCUAUUCGGAGUGACACAAUAAAUAAAUCAGAAUUGAGUGAGCAGUGUUUUUUUCAAUAUAUUUAAAACCUGACUUAUCUUUAUUUCCCCGUCACUUUUUGGUUAAAAUUGUAAAGGUUACA